ensembl:lncRNA
AAAAUUUCCUGCACCAACAGGAAAUUUUACUACCCUACUGAUCUUAGAAGUUGAGUCUUCAUCAUUAUAGGAGAACUUUUAGGUUACAGCCUGAAUGGAUGAUUGAGCACUCAGGGAAGGGGUAUGAUUGACCCAGGAAACACAGUGCAAUUUGCGUGUGCUUCCUACAUGACCAGAAAGGGUGGACCCAGGGCUCCUCCCACCCCUUGGGCUCAUUUAAGGGUUAGCCUCUGAAAGGAGAAUGUCUUCUGAGUGAAGGUUAUUUUCUGAGAAGGAGUGCUUUACAGCCAGAGGUCCUCAUCACGAGCUAGUGAUCAAAAAAUAGAAUGUAAUGGUGUAAUUAAAGGCUGGACCCCAUACACAGAAGGAGCCAAUUAUGUGGCCAUUUUCAUAUCCACAGAGGAGGAAACUGAAAAGGAAGGGGAAAAAAAAUGAAGUGAGCUGAGAAGCAUGAGUGUGGAGUUUUCUGCCUGCCAGACAGCCUGAACAGCUCUGUGAGCCUCCCCACAGGGUCACAUCUCUUACCUUCAAAGGUCGAAGACUGUGAGAAGAGGAAAAGCUCCCUCAGGCAAACAUAGCAGAUACUAGCUGAAAGUCUGGCAGACUAUGUAACACACAAGUGCUCAUACUCCAGUGUGUCAAAAUUACAAGAAUACUUCCUCUGCAGCAUGAACACAUGAGCUGGCUUGCAUGGGAUGCAGUUUGGUAGGAGGCACCUCAAGCAGCCUUAACAUUAAACCAAGCAACAUUCAUGCAGAACCACUCUGAUUAUGUCCUUCACCCACACCCUUCAUAACCAUCAACCAUUUUACUUCCCACUGUAGUCCUUCAUGACUGAAAAAAAAAAAAAAGGCAAGGCAGGUACUGCUAAUGAUGUGUAGAGAGAUAGCCUCUUAUAAUAUUUUGCACAAAUCUAACUAGUGGAUUUUGCAGAACUACUAAAGAAAGCAUGUGAUAUUACAUUAACCAAAACAUCAAAAAAUCUCUGAAUUUACCAAGAAGUUAUUCCCCGCGAAUACUAUGGUAUGUAAUGUCACACACUUCCCCUCU